UCCUCCGACGACAAGCAAGAAAAUGCUCUUCCAGACAAGGAGAGCAGGUCACUGCCUGAGCUAAUCGCCGACCCAUUCCUCGGCCUCACGGGCGCCAGGCCUGAGAGGGGGCUCACAGCAACGAACAGUCAUCACUUACAGAAGAGAAUGUGCAAAUUCUCUACCUGUCAUAGAGAGAGGUUAGCACACAAAUUAAGCGUUCUAGCUGGCAAAAAAGGAAAAAAAACAACAGACGUGGGCAAGAACUCCUUCGGCAAGAGGGAGAUACAUCUGCCUCCCGCCCAGCUGCCAUAGGGGAACUGGCCCAGAGGAGCCAUGACUCCUAUGUAGUACAAACUGGGAGAAUACCCCAGUGACCUAAUGAUCAUGUGUAACAGUGAAUGAAUGAAUGAAUGACGACUCUGAUGAUAAAUCACAUCAUAAGAUGAUUUUUAAAAAAUCAUUUUAUAAGCUUCAAGACUACAGUGCCUUUGAUCUAAGCCUUCUGAAUCCACGUAUGUUUUCUUCCAGCUUUGUGAAUCUCGUAAAUCACAGCACUAACGAAAUGAAGAAACAUGUAGCUUCUCACAAAAAAUUCUUGCAAGAGAUUUCUGUUUCAGCACAACAUGCAAAUUAAAUCAAUAAAAGUAUUUCUUCCUCAACAGGUUGGGGUAGAAAACACAGUGAGCA